rnacentral:rRNA from 1 species
GAUGAACGCUGGCGGCGUGCCUAAUACAUGCCAGUCGAGCGAACAGACGAGGAGCUUGCUCCUCUGACGUUAGCGGCGGACGGGUGAGUAACACGUGGAUAACCUACCUAUAAGACUGGAAUAACUUCGGGAAACCGGAGCUAAUACCGGAUAAUAUAUUGAACCGCAUGGUUCAAUAGUGAAAGACGGUUUUGCUGUCACUUAUAGAUGGAUCCGCGCCGCAUUAGCUAGUUGGUAAGGUAACGGCUUACCAAGGCAACGAUGCGUAGCCGACCUGAGAGGGUGAUCGGCCACACUGGAACUGAGACACGGUCCAGACUCCUACGGGAGGCAGCAGUAGGGAAUCUUCCGCAAUGGGCGAAAGCUUGACGGAGCAACGCCGCGUGAGUGAUGAAGGUCUUCGGAUCGUAAAACUCUGUUAUUAGGGAAGAACAAAUGUGUAAGUAACUAUGCACGUCUUGACGGUACCUAAUCAGAAAGCCACGGCUAACUACGUG